GGGUCGAUUGGACUUGGGAGUCCAAGCUGUCUGUAAAACAGUCGCUCUCGAUGAGCAAUGUAGGUUCGAUUCCUUCUCGGCCCA
rnacentral:tRNA from 1 species